rnacentral:rRNA from 1 species
UUUCCGGUUGAUCCCGCCGGAGGCCACUGCUAUCGGGGUCCGACUAAGCCAUGCGAGUCAAGGGGCUCCCUUCGGGGAGCACCGGCGCACGGCUCAGUAACACGUGGCUAACCUACCCUCGGGUGGGGAUAACCUCGGGAAACUGAGGCUAAUCCCCCAUAGGGGAGGAGGUCUGGAAUGAUCCCUCCCCGAAAGGCGUAAGCCGCCCGAGGAUGGGGCUGCGGCGGAUUAGGUAGUUGGUGGGGUAACGGCCCACCAAGCCUACGAUCCGUACGGGCCCUGAGAGGGGGAGCCCGGAGAUGGACACUGAGACACGGGUCCAGGCCCUACGGGGCGCAGCAGGCGCGAAACCUCCGCAAUGCGCGAAAGCGCGACGGGGGGACCCCGAGUGCCCACGCUCUGCGUGGGCUUUUCCGGAGUGUAAACAGCUCCGGGAAUAAGGGCUGGGCAAGUCCGGUGCCAGCAGCCGCGGUAAUACCGGCGGCCCAAGUGGUGGCCACUGUUAUUGGGCCUAAAGCGUCUGUAGCCGGCCCGGUAAGUCUCUGCUUAAAUCCUGCGGCUCAACCGCAGGGCUGGCAGAGAUACUGCCGGGCUUGGGACCGGGAGAGGCCGGGGGUACCCCAGGGGUAGCGGUGAAAUGCGUUGAUCCCUGGGGGACCACCUGUGGCGAAGGCGCCCGGCU